rnacentral:rRNA from 1 species
AGUGAACGCUGGCGGUAGGCCUAACACAUGCAAGUCGAACGGCAGCACAGUAAGAGCUUGCUCUUACGGGUGGCGAGUGGCGGACGGGUGAGGAAUACAUCGGAAUCUACUUUUUCGUGGGGGAUAACGUAGGGAAACUUACGCUAAUACCGCAUACGACCUACGGGUGAAAGCAGGGGAUCUUCGGACCUUGCGCGAUUGUAUGAGCCGAUGUCGGAUUAGCUAGUUGGCGGGGUAAAGGCCCACCAAGGCGACGAUCCGUAGCUGGUCUGAGAGGAUGAUCAGCCACACUGGAACUGAGACACGGUCCAGACUCCUACGGGAGGCAGCAGUGGGGAAUAUUGGACAGUGGGCGCAAGCCUGAUCCAGCCAUACCGCGUGGGUGAAGAAGGCCUGCGGGUUGUAAAGCCCUUUUGUUGGGAAAGAAAAGCAGCAGGUUAAUACCCCGCUGUUCUGACGGUACCCAAAGAAUAAGCACCGGCUAACUUCGU